rnacentral:rRNA from 1 species
CCUACGGAAGGCUGCAGUGGGGAAUAUUGGACAAUGGGGGGAACCCUGAUCCAGCCAUGCCGCGUGUGUGAAGAAGGCCCUCGGGUUGUAAAGCACUUUCAGUGAGGAAGAACGCCUGGUGGUUAAUACCCAUCAGGAAAGACAUCACUCACAGAAGAAGCACCGGCUAACUCCGUGCCAGCAGCCGCGGUAAUACGGAGGGUGCGAGCGUUAAUCGGAAUUACUGGGCGUAAAGCGCGCGUAGGUGGCUUGAUAAGCCGGUUGUGAAAGCCCCGGGCUCAACCUGGGAACGGCAUCCGGAACUGUCAAGCUAGAGUGCAGGAGAGGAAGGUAGAAUUCCCGGUGUAGCGGUGAAAUGCGUAGAGAUCGGGAGGAAUACCAGUGGCGAAGGCGGCCUUCUGGACUGACACUGACACUGAGGUGCGAAAGCGUGGGUAGCAAACAGGAUUAGAUACCCUUGUAGUC